AGAGUUUGAUCAUGGCUCAGAUUGAACGCUGGCGGCAGGCUUAACACAUGCAAGUCGAGCGGAGAUGAGGUGCUUGCACCUUAUCUUAGCGGCGGACGGGUGAGUAAUGCUUAGGAAUCUGCCUAUUAGUGGGGGACAACAUUCCGAAAGGAAUGCUAAUACCGCAUACGUCCUACGGGAGAAAGCAGGGGAUCUUCGGACCUUGCGCUAAUAGAUGAGCCUAAGUCGGAUUAGCUAGUUGGUGGGGUAAAGGCCUACCAAGGCGACGAUCUGUAGCGGGUCUGAGAGGAUGAUCCGCCACACUGGGACUGAGACACGGCCCAGACUCCUACGGGAGGCAGCAGUGGGGAAUAUUGGACGAUGGGGGGAACCCUGAUCCAGCCAUGCCGCGUGUGUGAAGAAGGCCUUAUGGUUGUAAAGCACUUUAAGCGAGGAGGAGGCUACUGAGACUAAUACUCUUGGAUAGUGGACGUUACUCGCAGAAUAAGCACCGGCUAACUCUGUGCCAGCAGCCGCGGUAAUACAGAGGGUGCGAGCGUUAAUCGGAUUUACUGGGCGUAAAGCGUGCGUAGGCGGCUUUUUAAGUCGGAUGUGAAAUCCCCGAGCUUAACUUGGGAAUUGCAUUCGAUACUGGGAAGCUAGAGUAUGGGAGAGGAUGGUAGAAUUCCAGGUGUAGCGGUGAAAUGCGUAGAGAUCUGGAGGAAUACCGAUGGCGAAGGCAGCCAUCUGGCCUAAUACUGACGCUGAGGUACGAAAGCAUGGGGAGCAAACAGGAUUAGAUACCCUGGUAGUCCAUGCCGUAAACGAUGUCUACUAGCCGUUGGGGCCUUUGAGGCUUUAGUGGCGCAGCUAACGCGACAAGUAGACCGCC
rnacentral:rRNA from 1 species